UACGUAGGCGAAAGAUUAAGUCAGUGGUGAAAUCCUGCAGCUUAACUGUAGAACUGUCAUUGAUACUGGUUUUCUUGAAUUUAGUUGAGGUAGGCGGAAUGUGUAAUGUAGCGGUGAAAUGCUUAGAUAUUACACAGAACACCGAUUGCGAAGGCAGCUUACUAAACUAUGAUUGACGCUGAGGUACGAAAGCGUGGGGAGCGAACAGGAUUAGAUACCCUGGUAGUCC
rnacentral:rRNA from 1 species